rnacentral:tRNA from 1 species
AGGAUUAUAAUUUAUAUUAAAAAAUAUUUAAUUUGCAUUUAAAAAAAAUCUUAGAUUAAUCUUA